UACGAAGGGGGGCUAGCGUUGCUCGGAAUCAUUGGGCGUAAAGGGUGCGUAGGCGGCUUCGAAAGUCAGAUGUGAAAGCCCCCGGGCUUAACCUGGGAAGUGCAUUUGAUACUACGGAGCUAGAGUAUCGGAGAGGAUAGUGGAAUUCCUGGUGUAGUGGUGAAAUACGUAGAUAUCAGGAGGAACACCGGAGGCGAAGGCGGCUAUCUGGCCGAAUACUGACGUUGAAGCACGAAAGCGUGGGGAGCAAACAGG
rnacentral:rRNA from 1 species